rnacentral:rRNA from 1 species
AACGAACGCUGGCGGCAUGCCUAACACAUGCAAGUCGAACGAGACCUUCGGGUCUAGUGGCGCACGGGUGCGUAACGCGUGGGAACCUACCCUUAGGUUCGGAAUAACUCCCCGAAAGGGGUGCUAAUACCGGAGAAUGUCUUCGGACCAAAGAGUUAUCGCCUUUGGGUGGGCCCGCGUUGGAUUAGCUAGUUGGGAGGGUAAAAGCCUACCAAGGCGACGAUCCAUAGCUGGUCGGAGAGGAUGAUCAGCCACACUGGGACUGAGACACGGCCCAGACUCCUACGGGAGGCAGCAGUGGGGAAUAUUGGACAAUGAGCGAAAGCCUGAUCCAGCAAUGCCGCGUGAGUGAUGAAGGCCUUAGGGUUGUAAAGCUCUUUUACCCGGGAUGAUAAUGACAGUACCGGGAGAAUAAGCUCCGGCUAACUCCGUG